CUGCUGCAUCUGCCUGUACAUUUGCUUGACACAGUCAGAUAGUCAAGCAGCUGGAAUGGCUGCCCAGGGAGCUGGUGGAGUCGCUGUUCCUGACAGUGUUCAAGAGGCAUCUGGAUGAGGAGCUGCAAGAUGUGGUUUAGUACCUUGUGGUAGCAGUGGUAAUGAGAAGACGGUUGGACUAGAUGAUCUUAUAGAUCGUUUCCAACCUUCUGAUUCUAUGAUUCUAUGAAUAGUGAAGGAACUACUGAAUGAAUAACUCUCCUUGGCAUGUAUUUUUUAGUCCUUCUAGAACAAGGUAUGUAAAUUUGCCCAGCUAGGAUAUUCUUCCUCCCAUCCAUACCUAAAUGGUUUCCAUGUUCACAGCAGGAGUGCUUCUUCGACAGCUGGUUUGUCAGCAAGCUCAGCUCGGUAGUAUAAACCCCUUUAUUCAUAAGGAUUCAUGAAGUAUGACCUUCACCCUUCUGUUUUCCCAUUAGGUCUUCAUCCAGCUUGCCUAGUCCUUUUGUACUUGUUUUAAACAAGUGUGACAGAGACUCCUGACACCACUGACUGGUGCCCUGGUCAUGUACUGCUCUCAAAGUUUUUAAGCAGAAGUGGGGUGGACCUGGCAUCUUGAGCUCAGCAGCAGUACCAGAGCCCUACAGGAAAUAUUUCAGUGAAACUUGAGGUGAUGAGGAAGGGUGGAAUGCUGUAUGGUAGAGACACCUUCAGUGGAGUUUGACAUCUCUCUGAAUACCCAAAGCACAAGGGAAAAUGACAGAGUUACGUACUGUAUAGAACUAAUAUCAGUACAUGCAAGACUUUGUGCAUUAUUUUGCAAGCGCACUUGUUUGGAUAAAGAUUAAGAAAGGUUUCUUAUCGCUGAUCGUGUGGAUCUGGUUUUCUACUUGCUAUGAAUGUUAGAGUUUGAAGAAAGCUUUGAGAUAAUGGGCUGUGGAAGACAGAAGAGUGAACCAGUCUCCUUCCUUGUUCUUCAGUUCAGACGAUCAUUAGUUUGGACAACUGGAGGAUGGAGAUCCCAGGACAUACUGAAAGAGCAAGCCUAAUCCUGAAGAUCAGCAAAUCUGAAAAUAUGGGAGCAGAACAACAACCAACCAAAAAAAAUGCUGCAUGUGGGCUGAGAGAGUUAGGUUGUCUCUCCUUACAGUGACAUAAAUCACAAGUGAUCACGCAAAGAUGUGGACCAUGGCAAAGCUGUAAUGCCUAACUUCGUGCUGAGAAGCCUCCUCCCAGGAAAGAUCCAACAUCCCUACAGUGUUACUUGCUGGGUGAUGCAGUGCUUUAGUUUACCACAGCUGAACAUCUCCACCUUUGACAGCCUGAUUUCAGCAGUCAUUUUGUACCGGAGGUUUUAAUAAAUCUUUCCAAAACAAGCUAACAGCCACAGAAACACUGGCACAAGACAUACGGUUUACAUUAACACUAAGAGAGGAAGAAGACUGACCUACUUGAAGGAGGGGAGAAAACAGCACCAGCUGAAGGAUCUGGGAACUGUCCGCCACCUCUUCUGCCAGAUGGAUGAAAGCUGUGUCCUUCCUGAAGUGGCUCCACACUGCUGGGUGCUCACUCUAACAACAGUAAUUAUGAGGGAGAAACAUAGCUGUAUAUAAUCAAUUCCCUAUUAAGCAUCCUCUCCUGUUAUUUAACGUUGAACUGAUGCAGAGCUUAAUGACUCACUGCUUUCUGACAAAUAAUAAAUAUACCACACAGAGGCAUUUCAGAGGCACUGGGUCUCCUCCUGAAUUUGAAUGGAAUUUAACAAGUAGAUCCAGAUGAAACAAUGCAGAGAAAGAAAAAUGAAAUGUCAAAACACUUCAUUUUAGUAUUUUCAAAAUGGAGCAUUUCAUUCUAGAACUGCCAAAACACUUCAAUUUCAAAACAAAGACUUCUAGCUGUCCAUUUUAAAUUUGGCCUAGAUUUAAAAAGAAAAAAGAUUUAAAACGUGUGUAAUGGUCCAAGACAAAAAAAUGAAGCUUUUCUUUGAAGCUGAACUAAAUAUUUUGGAUUGAACAAAAAAGAUGCUUUUCCUGAUUAUAAUUAUUUUUUUGUUUUGCCAACAAUUUACUUUUUUUUUUUUUUUUAAAUCUAGAUUUGACCAAAACCAAAAUACAAUUCUCAAAAAAAUAUGUAAUUGUUAGAGCAAUUGACUAGUUUCAUGCAUUAUGAAACUCCAGCUCUAGGUAACCCAGUGUGUCAGUAUACCUCCUGGAGUUUAAACAGACCAAUCAGGCCCAUUGCUUUCCAAAUGCUAUUAGAGCUGGUUAAUUUAUUUUCAAUUGGAAAAGCUCAAGUGAAUUCUUUUUAUAAUGGUAAAAUAACAGAGAUUCUGUCUGAUAACUCCUACUCAGAAAUACUUAUCUAGCUGUGCACAUGGUAGAUGCUUCUGGACAUCUCUGCUCUCUGUGGUGCUGCAUUGAAGGAGAAUCCUACUUCACCUGAUCUUGGAGCCUCGGCUGCCUGAGCAUCCACUCUGCCCCAGCCUGCCUGUGCUUGGGCCCUAAGUCUUGCAUGUGGAGAAAAGGGAGAAAUCAGCUCACAUCCAGAUUCUGCUUCACAGCAGCAUUGCUGCCGCAUGCUUCAGCCAUUUGGCCACAUAACCUCCUGUCCCUAAUUGAACACAGUCCUGUAAAGCAACAAAGAUGUGGCACUUGUGAGUCUGGUAACAAAGAGCAUGGAAACGUAGCACCAAACUGCCAUCCUCCCAAGAGGUGCAGCAGCAGCAGCACUCCACACUGGUACUUUCAGCCAGAAAUAUUUGGCUUGCAGGUGUUUGGCUUUCUGAUGAAUAGCCCUGAUUUUCUACAGAAAGCAGAUACUUUUUUUCUGGGAAAAAAUAUUCUCACAAAAUCCAGUUUUCCUUUAAAGAAUGGCAAUGGAAAAUCUUUAACCUAUAAGAUGUAGCAACAUGUGUGAUUUUUCUUCUUCCCAAAAGUUCUUUUCUGUGUAUCCAUUGACUUGCUACACAAAAUUGCAGUAAAUCUUGCUGGCUCUGAGCCUAAAACUUGCCCACUUUCCCAAGCUCUAUCAAUAGAGAUAUUAAAGAAAGAUGUUUCCUCACUGUUUCUCAUUUUCUGAGGUCGUUACAGGAAGGACAACAUACCUCUGUACUGCUUGUCACUGGAUAUGAUGGCCAUGGUCCCGUGCCAGCCAGCUGAAAAAAAAGGCUGCUCAUAAGAACCCGCAGAAACAAAGGACACCAAACAGGUCACCAGGAAAGAGCAGUUAAGUCGAGUACCUAUCUGAGAAACAUAAAAUCAUCAGUAAAAGUUUAGUUACCAACAGAUGUGUGCAGGUUUCCUAGAAGGCUUUUUCUUACCUGCUUGCAAAAGAAAAAGCAAAGACAGCUGCAAAACCAAUUCAUCUGUGUUUUGAAUUUGUUAUGAUUCAGUCAGCAAAAGAAAGAAAAUCCAGAGUCAGAGAUCACUCCCUCCCCACUUCUAUCACUAUGGGUUACCAUCCUUAAUUUUACGCAACUGUGUCAUGUUGUGACCAAAUAUUGGAGGCUCAAUCCUUAACUUUGAAGUUUUUCUCUUUUGUGGAAUUAAGCCAGAACCACAAAAUUUUUGAAAACGCAGUGCUUGACUGAAUUGAAUGCAGUUUCCUCUGUGAAACUAAAACCAAACAGAAAGCUUCUACUCUUCCAAAAGGGUGUUUUUUAAAUUGCCUUUGACCCUCUUUCUUUGUAUUUGUAUUGGCUCUGGUUGUUUGAUUAAAACUGUAGGACACCCAAUUCAAGAGAGUAUUUUUGAAAGACAAAUAAGGAAACUUUGAUACUUUUUCUUCAGAUAUCUCCUGUAAUUUUGUAUAAAUGCUUUCCAGUUUUGGCUUACAUUCUUACACACUGCCGGAAUAUCUGAACGUUAAUUCAAGAAAUACUUUACUUUGGCCCUGCUUUGUAGUACUUUGAUGUGUCAGUAUUAAUUGAAUUUAAGUGUUCUCUUUAGGAAUAUUUUAUAUAAAAUAGAGAUUUUGGAGUUCAAAUUCAAAUAUACAUAUGCACACAUAUAGAUAUGAGUAUACAUUAAUAUAUGUAGCCUUCAGCAAUUAUAUAUAAAGUUAUAAUGUGUUCAACUAGCCAAACACAAUAAACAAGUCGUUCAUUAUUUUAAAAUCCUAUUGACCUUAGUGAUAACUUUUCCUGAAAGAGGAAUGCAGACUUUAGCACCAGAAGAAAUUAGUGAAGUUUAACAAAAUAUUUUAAUAUAGCUAUAACAAAUUCAAAAUAACUUCUCGGAGGGAGGCUUCAGUGGCUUAUAUGGAGGAAGGGAAAUUUCAUAUCAAUAAAUAUGGUGGCAUCUGCCAGAUAAAAUGUUUUAAUAAUCCUCUGGGUGUGACUUCCCUCCCACUAAUGUGUCGGACAGUUUAGAUUAACACCAUAUGCCUGUUAAAAGAAUGAGUUGGAAACCAGUCUAAAUAGUGAGAGUUCAUUUUACAGCAUUGUUUUCCCAGCAUUCCUAGUAUGCCUAUGCUAAGGAUCGCUGACGGCACGGACAGGAUGAUGAAAGAGGAGGAAAACCACAGGGAGAGGUGGAAACAUGGAGCCAACAGAACCAGGAAGAGGAGGAGGAAAAGAAAGUCAAAUAGAGAGUAGUGGGAAAUUGUGGGGACUAAGGGACAUGUUAAGUUUUUGGUAGAAAAAGUAGACAAGGGGUAUUGUCCUGCAUCACUGAGGAUAUGGUACUUUUCAAAAGUGAUGGCAUUAAGCCAGGAAGAGGAAUGGUUCUUGUAGAAAUGUGGUAAAGAGCAUGGUUAACAUAAAUUAUCUCUGCAUCUAGAGAUACGCAGAUAAUGACAUCACCUCCAGGAGGAAGAGCUGGCGUGAAAGAGGAAUUGGGCAAGAAGAAGCUGCCAUGCCAAAAUUACAAAGUGACAAGGCAGUGGCAUUAUAAAUUUACCCAUUCAAGUCAAGUCCUGGCUACAAGAUUUCCAAAGGCAGCUUACUCUUUUGAUUGCCAUGUUCCUGAUGUCAGCUGGGCUGUUUCUUUAGUGAAGGUCAGGAGUGUGCCUGGAGACCGUCACAAAUUAAAUAUGAUGAUUGGUGUGAUGUAGCGUUCUGAUGUGUCAGGACAGAGAGUUUCCAGCUGGAGCUUGAUGAGUCACACAGCUUUUCUUCCUUUUGGUAUCAUUCAAUUAUUUUAGGAGACUUUUUUCUUCAAUUGGGCAGAGGUUACAUCCUGCUGCUCAAAACAAGCACAACAGCAAGGGCGAUGAUGACCAAACAAUCUGUAUUUCUGCUGUCGUUCAUUCAUUUUCCACAGUGCUCUGUAAACAUGGAGCCUUGACAAGUGUAACUGAUCCACAUACUAUUGUGACAUUAAAGCUGAAAGAUGUGGAUGAAGCAGUGACAGAAACACAAAAAAAAAGAGCAUUAAAAUGAAGAUUUGGUUCCAAGCUGCAGAAGCAGUUGCACAAACUGAAGAAUAAAGAUGUGAGAAAUUUGUGAGAAAAAUGCAGAAGCCUGAGUCAACAUUUAUUUGAACACCAUCUGCCUAAUGCUGAAGACAAAUCUCCACACACUGAGGUAAUCACACCUACAUCAUUUUGAUUUCCAGAACAAAGCCAUUUCUCUAACAAAGGAUACUACCAAUCCAGACCUGAAAUGGUUUUUUUCUGUUUUCUCCAGAAGCAGAGGAGUGCUGGGGGCCUUGGGUAAAGGGAGAUUUGUUCCAAAUUAGGAACUAACCAGUCAGGAAAGAAUAGCAAUGAAUAAAUCGUUUACAGUCAAAAUCUCUUCAUUUAUACCGAUCAUAAUUACAUUUUGCACUCAAACGUUGGAGCAUGUCUGAGUGCUUAGUGACUGCCUGCUGCUGUGACUGCACAAGUGAAUUACCUUCACUAUAAACCAGAAGUUUUCCUGUCCAGCAUUCCAUAUCUUGCAUUUUUCCCCUGGGUUCAAGAAAAAUUGAUGCUGAACUCUCUGGGAAAACGAUCCUGGUUUUUGAGAGAGCGAGGUGGAGGAAACAACUCCGUGGUGCUCCCCAGUGAGAACAAGGGCUGUCCCAUGUCCUAGGCUCAGCCUUAGUGCUCGCCCACCACAUCAGCUUGUUGUUGGUGCAGCCCUGCACACAGAUCUCAGAAAUCCCCUCUCCACCCUCUCGAUGAAGCCCAAGCUGUUCUGACCAACUCAAAUUAGUAACAGCAUGAGGAGACAUGAGGUCAUUCUGACCACCCAGUUACCUUAAUCCACAUCUACUACUGUCCUGCAUGACAGUCUUGCUCAGGAUCCCACAGAAGCUGUCAGGGUUUAUGGAACACGACUGCUCAGUAAACAGGACAAGAUCUCAAAAGGAACUGUUUCAAUGUGGUGAAUGUCUCUCAAAAAAACAUCAUGCCAAGGUCAGAUUCUAACUGUGAGUUUGCUAUUAACUUAUGCACAUAUCAUAUGGUGAUAAAAGUUACCUACACUCUGAAAUAUGUAAUAAAACAUUGACUCCCUGAACAUUACUUCCUUUGUCGUAUACUAAAGUUAUCAGUGCACAUACAAACACAAUACUCUGAGUUCUCCCACUUCUCUGAAAAAAUCUCAAAUUACUUUUCUUGUAGUGCUGUGUAGCAGGUAACCAACCCCUUUUCUCAUCAGAAAUCCCAAUGGCAGCAAAUAAAAGUAUAAAAGGCAUCUAAAAAGUUAGAAGUUUAUAGUAAAUUACUAUCUCUGUAAUACUUUCUCUUGGGUAUUAAUUUGUUUAAGACUUUCUUCUCAUUUACAUAGAAAUCACUGGAGAACACAAGACUUACACAAGAUAUUUAACACAAAUAAUCACUUGUCCAAAAGUAAAAGCAUUAUCUAUUUGUUGGAAUAUACUGCACUACAUACCUUGUGGCAGAAAUGAAGACUCAUCUUGGCCCACAGAUCACAAAAUAGCUCAACACUGUUAUUUUGUGUGUAUCUGUUAUUUUAUUUGCCUUUGGUACACAUGCAUGGUCCCUCAACUUUAAGCCAGUUCCUUGCUUUUCAACCAUUACAGAAAAAAGAGAGCAGCAGGCUCUCUGGCCUGGCUUCAGGCAAGUGCUCUAUGGUCAUCAGUGUAAGUGGCUCCCAGCGUAACUCCCUCCAAUCCAAAAAAAUCCUGAAUAUUCUGUCUAACUGCAGCCCUUUAAGGACUGAUAUGUAACAGGAAAAGGGAUAAAAGGGCUUAGAUGUAUGUUUAUUAUGUGUUUAUAGAUACUCUUACAGAUACCUAUUUCUAUAUCCUACUCACAAAAUAGGCAGAAUCCAGUGAAGAUGCUAAAAGAAGAAAAAGAUGCCUUGGUUCUGGUGACUCCCAUCACUUGGCAAACUCAUUAGUGAGACACUGUGCUCGCAUAAAGUUCAAACUUUGACACAAGGCAGUGGUACCAUCACCUUCCCUUUAAGUAAAACUCAAGAGAUGCAUGUCAGGAACACAGGAUUUCCUUGCAGUCACAGAAGUCCCUUUUUGAAACGUGCAGAGGAAAUGCCAGGUUUGUGUUUGCCAAGUACCUGAUUUCAGGGUUCAUUCUGCUACUGCACAUAAAUUUCUCUGGUGUGUGUUUGGCACGACAUGUUAUCCUAGACUGAUCAUAUGUUCACAGAUUGCAGAGAGUGUGUGAAAGCCUUUUUUACUGUAGUUAUUGGGCGAAGUCACGUCUGCUACCUGGUACUCAUGCAGAGAAAUCUGUAAUCUGGGAACAGAUGGUGUGAUAGAGAGAGAGAGAGACACUGUCUGGAAGACUGCAGAGAUUUUUUUUACUCAGAGGAGAUGAAAGAGGAAUGUACAAACCCACCAUAGCAUGACAAAAACAUGAAAAUAUAGAAGAACGUCAGUCCUUAAGGUCAUUCCUUUAGAAUUCACCAACUGUCUGUGUACCAUAUGCGCAUACCAACAUACCAAGAUGAGCCCUGUUGCACAGAGUGAGAGGUAACUUAGCCAAAAUUGCGGGAUUGUAGAUGUACUAUGCAGGUAAGUGAUGCAUAAUCUAAUUCCAUAAUCUAAACACACAGCUUGAAAAGAAUCUUAAAAGCAUAUAUAUAUAUAUAUAUAUAUAUAUAGCGGCUUUUUCUCUGUUUUUUUGUUUGUUUGUUUGUU